UGUCCAUACAGGUACAGUACAGUACAGUACAGCACACCCGGCGGGCCCGGCAGCGCGUCGCAGGCCGGCGCGCUGUGGGCCGCGCGCGCGCUGCGCCGCCUGCAGCCCGCGCCGCUCGCGCUGCGGCACGCCACCGCGCUGCACUGGCCGCACGUGUCCAUACAGGGUUGCGUGGAGGUGCUAGAGAGCCUCCGGGAGGGAGAUUUCGGGCCGUGCGAGAAGGAAAUCGAGGAGUACAUCGCAGCGUGUCGCGCCAAGUUCCCGUACGCGAUCGCCUUCAAGCCGCCGGCGCCCGACGCGCCCGCCGACGCGACCGAAGCGUUGCAGCCUAAAGAAGUCUCCAACAACUGAGCUCCAUGCUAACACGUCUCGGCUAUAUUUGGCAAGGCCCAACACCGCCCUUCUGAAAUGACGCUCGAGAACUUAUUACGAAU